GGGGCGGUAGCUCAGCCUGGGAGAGCACAUGACUGAAGAUCAUGGUGUCCGGGAUUCAAAUUCCCGUCGCCCCA
rnacentral:tRNA from 4 species